CACCUUUCUCACUUUCUUUCUCUAGGUUUUCUCUCUCUUUGAAUAGGAAUUAGGUGACUUGAGCUCAUUUUCUUCCCCUCUCUUGUUGUUGCUGGUUUGGAAGGCUUGGGGGUAGCUCUUGAAGGGUAUAAGAAGUGUUUUGGCAGUGUUCUUCAACCCUAAUACAGGGGAUUACUGAGGGAGAACUUUAGAAAGCUGGUUUGAGGGAGUUUAAAAUAGCUAUAGAGGAGUUGUUUUGCUGUGAUUCUUCAACCAUAAUCCAAGGACAAGUUGAGUUGAAGUUUGAAAGGAUAGGUGAACUCUGUGGCUAAGCUUUGGAUGACUUUUGAAGGUGGUUUUGGCUAUGGUUUAUCCAUUCUAACUCAAGGAAAAGCUCAAGUGGAGCUGUUGGAAGGUUCGCAGCGGAUCGUUCGAUCUUGUUUAGCUGAGUUUUGAGAGCUUUCAAAGGUUGGAUUUGGUGUUCCAACCUGAACCGAAGUGGGGAUUCAAGCAUUAACACUAUAUUAGGGUGCUUGGAAGCUACGGAUUGUCCUUGCUUGCGGAGUCGACGAGAGGCGUCAGCUAUUUGAGCCUUCCACAGCGGGAAAGGCUAGGGUUCCUGGCGAGGGGUCAGUGGCUAGCUAGAACCUUCUCGAUGUUAAAUAGACAAAUCUCUACAAGUUUACGCAGUUUAGUUCAGUGUUGUAUACUGUGUUGUAUAAGUUUUUCAACUUUUAACUUUGCUCUGAUUACCUGGUUAAAAUGCUAUACUUUUACUAUGUUGGUUGUAGA